AUUCCAUACAUGCUUCAAAUUUGGGAGGUUUCGUACAUCCAGAGUUCUCAAUUGAUUGGCUACUGUUUCUUUGAUAUUCAUUAGCUCUUGGAAAUCAAACACCUCUUGAAGUGAAUCACAAUUCCUCACAACCAAAUCCUCAAGAUUUUCAAGGUGUCUUAACAACUUGGAUGGAAAAAUUUUCAGUAGUUCUUUACAGUAUUCCACCUUCAGUACUCUUCUUUUGCAAAAGGAAUCUGAAUGGAAUUCAUUGUGCCAUAUCAUCUUCAA
rnacentral:misc_RNA from 1 species